GCACGAGAAAGGGACUUCGGUCCUGAGUACAGUGGCGCACGGGUGAGUAACACGUGAAUCAUCUACCUCCGAGUGGGGAAUAACUGAGAGAAAUCUUAGCUAAUACCGCAUAACACUUACGAGUCAAAGCAGCAAUGCGCUUGGAGAGGAGUUCGCGGCAGAUUAGUUAGUUGGCGGGGUAAUGGCCCACCAAGACGAUGAUCUGUAUCCGGCCUGAGAGGGCGCACGGACACACUGGAACUGAAACACGGUCCAGACUCCUACGGGAGGCAGCAGUGGGGAAUUUUGCGCAAUGGGGGAAACCCUGACGCAGCAACGCCGCGUGGAGGAUGAAAUCCCUUGGGAUGUAAACUCCUUUCGAUAGGGAAGAUAAUGACGGUACCUAUAGAAGAAGCCCCGGCUAACUUCGUGCCAGCAGCCGCGGUAAUACGAGGGGGGCAAGCGUUGUUCGGAAUUAUUGGGCGUAAAGGGUGCGUAGGCGGUUUGACAAGUCUUAUGUGAAAUCUUCGGGCUCAACCCGAAGUCUGCAUGGGAAACUGUCGGGCUUGAGUAUGGGAGAGGUGAGUGGAAUUUCCGGUGUAGCGGUGAAAUGCGUAGAUAUCGGAAGGAACACCUGUGGCGAAAGCGGCUCACUGGACCAUAACUGACGCUGAUGCACGAAAGCUAGGGGA
rnacentral:rRNA from 1 species